rnacentral:rRNA from 1 species
GACGAACCCGUGCGAACGUUGUUCGGAUUCACUGGGCUUAAAGGGCGCGUAGGCGGCUCUCCCAGUCCGGGGUGAAAGCUUUCGGCUUAACCGGAAAAGGGCCUUGGAUGCUGGAGAGCUCGAGGGAGGUAGGGGCAGCCGGAACUUCCGGUGGAGCGGUGAAAUGCGUUGAGAUCGGAAGGAACGCCGGUGGCGAAAGCGGGCUGCUGGAUCUCUGCUGACGCUGAGGCGCGAAAGCCAGGGGAGCAAACGGGAUUAGAUACCCUGUAGU